CACACAGCUACUGAGGCAGCUGAGGCGCUGAGAGGUAAAACAACUUUCCUAUGAUCACAGAACUGGUGCCUUGGGCAGCAAGGUCUUCUGACUGCAAAUCCAGCACAUCCUGCAGUGUGACUGUUUACCCAGUGGAGAUUCCCCGUGCUUUGCCCAACCCAAGAAUGCCUGCUGACAUACCAUUUUUUUUCACCUGGGAAGCAAGAUCUAGCAGCCAAUGGGAUUCUGCCUGUACUUUGCAUUGCCUCUUCAGAUUGUUCAGGUACCAAAUCUGGUAUCAAGCCUUAUAAAAAUAAGACCCUGGGAAGAAGAGUGCAUCUCAGAUCAUGAAGAAGAUCUAUUUCAUUAGAGGGGACCAUGGACCCUUUAAUAAAGACCCAUUGGCUCAGAGCUCUGCCUCAGUGGUUUUUCUUGUAGGCUGGACAAUUUUAAUCCUCAAACUGCCAUACCAUGCUGCUUCUCCAAAGGAGAAAUGAAUUGAUGGAAACCAAUCACACCACCAAGAGAAAGAGUGUAGCUCAAGAAGAGGGCCCAAGUUAGACACUAAAAGGGUAGGAGACAGUUGAUGAUCUAGCAAAGGACACUAAUAAGGAAUGGUCACACAGGCAGAGGGCUAGAGUAGGCGUUAGGGACUUCUCCUGAAGUGUAGUCAGCACUGUCCAAGGACCCAGGAUCUUUGGAACUUUUCUAACUCUUGAGGUCAUCUCAAAGGCUGGACAUGUACAUUUCG